GUCUAAGGCUUUGCAUACACUGAUUAUAGAUUUCAGAGUGAGUAAUUUCAGAAAGGAUUUAAAUAAUUCUGAUUCUUCUUUUCCUGUGUGUUUCUUCCAUUACGACAGUUGCAAGCUCCUACGAAGCUCCCACUCAAAAAGAAAAAAAAAACAAAACCUGAAAUCUGAAAGCAACUAAGGAAGGUAAUGGAGGAAGGAAGAACAUCUCAAAGGACAGAUGUCAAUAUACUUGAAAGAAAUGCUGACAGAGAAGAACCAGGCUCAAUCAACAAACAUUAUCACCUCCAGAGGGACCUACCUGGUAAAACUCAGUGGGAUUUCAGAAUUCCUAUUGGCCACCCACUGCUCUUUGCCUCACAUUUCUUACUUUUCUGAAUGUGUGUACAUUGUGUUUAUCCGCUCCUAUUUCAGCAUUUUACACGUUGUGUGUGGAGGGCAAAUCACAUUUGUAUUUAGCUCAUAGACCACCAGAUGAAGAGAAGCAUCAUGUGCAAUCUUAUAUAAAUCAUUGGAUCCUGAAUUUCAAUCCUGAUUGUCAUUAAAUGUCUUUUGGAUAUCCUAGUAUCUCUGUUACAUUAUUUCCCACACAAAGGUAUAUAAAUUAAUGCAUCCAAGAGGGCAGACUGUGGUUAAUUGCCCUGUUGAUUUCAGCAUAUCACCCUUCCCUUUAUCCACACCCCAUGUCAUGUUAUUGGCUGUUCUUUCUAGUAAGAGGUUGAGUCUGUUUUCUCAUCUGUGGAAUUCGGGAGUACCAUUUGAUUUGUUUAGGAUAAUCAAUUAAGCAGAGUGAUGAUGUGUCUAUUCCAGUACUGGGGCUUAAGAUGUCUUGUGAGUUAUUAUUUGCCCUCCUGCACUUUUGCCACUGCCUGAGAAGGACAUUUAUGAACUAGCCUGCUGGACUCAGGAAAAGGAUGAAACAUGAACAAGAAGGAGGUACAAAGCUGAAUCAUCCCAAGGCUAGAUGUAACCAAAUUCCGCAUUCUAUCCACCCACAGAUGCUAAAGUGAUUCAGCCAUGCAUAUUAGAGCUGCA
rnacentral:lncRNA from 1 species